GACGAACGCUGGCGGCGUGCCUAAUACAUGCAAGUCGAACGCUUUUUCUUUCACCGGAGCUUGCUCCACCGAAAGAAAAAGAGUGGCGAACGGGUGAGUAACACGUGGGUAACCUGCCCAUCAGAAGGGGAUAACACUUGGAAACAGGUGCUGAUACCGUAUAACACUAUUUUCCGCAUGGAAGAAAGUUGAAAGGCGCUUUCGCGUCACUGAUGGAUGGACCCGCGGUGCAUUAGCUAGUUGGUGAGGUAACGGCUCACCAAGGCAACGAUGCAUAGCCGACCUGAGAGGGUGAUCGGCCACACUGGGACUGAGACACGGCCCAGACUCCUACGGGAGGCAGCAGUAGGGAAUCUUCGGCAAUGGACGAAAGUCUGACCGAGCAACGCCGCGUGAGUGAAGAAGGUUUUCGGAUCGUAAAACUCUGUUGUUAGAGAAGAACAAGGAUGAGAGUAGA
rnacentral:rRNA from 1 species